AAUCAACGCUGGCGGCGUGCCUAACACAUGCAAGUCGAACGAGAAAGUGGUAGCAAUACCAUGAGUAAAGUGGCGCACGGGUGAGUAACACGUGACUAACCUACCCUGGAGUGGGGGAUAACUGAGGGAAACCUUAGCUAAUACCGCAUAAUACCCACGGGUCAAAGGAGCAAUUCGCUCUGGGAGGGGGUCGCGGCCGAUUAGUUAGUUGGCGGGGUAAUGGCCCACCAAGACGAUGAUCGGUAUCCGGCCUGAGAGGGCGCACGGACACACUGGAACUGAAACACGGUCCAGACUCCUACGGGAGGCAGCAGUGGGGAAUUUUGCGCAAUGGGGGAAACCCUGACGCAGCAACGCCGCGUGGAGGAUGAAGUACUUCGGUACGUAAACUCCUUUCGAUCGGGACGAUAAUGACGGUACCGAGAGAAGAAGCCCCGGCUAACUUCGUGCCAGCAGCCGCGGUAAUACGAGGGGGGCGAGCGUUGUUCGGAAUUAUUGGGCGUAAAGGGUGCGUAGGCGGUUUGGUAAGUCUCGUGUAAAUCUAUGGGCUCAACUCAUAGUCUGCACGAGAAACUGCCG
rnacentral:rRNA from 1 species